rnacentral:lncRNA from 1 species
CAGAGAGCGCGGAGAGACGCAGAACGCAGCCAGCUCCUCCAGGGCCCUCCAGGCCCUCCGGACCCGGGCCGGCGGGUGAACUGGGGGGCCCCGGGACAGGCCGAGGCCUCUGCCCUGCAGAUACCGGAGGCCUCUGCUGUGGCUGCCCACUGGCUGUGCCCAGGCCUUGAAGCCGCAGCGAACCUCUCUUUCCCACCCCACCUGGAUGACUGAUGGCGGCGGCUGCGUCUCCCCGACGGGACCCCGCCGGCCGCCGCGUCUCCCGACCCAAGCCUGCCGGGCCUCGACGAAACCCCCGCAGAGUCGCUGGGACGCAGCGCCUUUGGGCGGCGCCGGGCGUGGUGGGCCGGAAAGUAUGGCGGCCGCUUGAACGCCGCGCGGCGGAGGCCAUUAAGGCGUGGAGGGCCCGGGAAGGCGGCCUAGGGACGCAAGCAGGCUCGGCCACCUCUUUAGGCCACGGAGCCGCGCAGAUCCGGUUCCCGGGUGACCACUCUGUCGCCAUUGGGCGAGACCGACCUAGUCCUGACGACAACGGACAAAGGCCUUCAGGGGCCUGGAAGAAACUCUUCAGCAGAUGGCAAUUUUCCACCUUCCUGUAUAAAACCAGAAUCCUCUCACCUGGCAGAAAUCUUUCUCUCCAGAUGCUGCAAAGCCAGCACAGAUCAUCUUCUCUGUGAUCCCUCCUGGAUGGGCAGAAUAAAAGAAGAGGGGCUGAAGCGGAUGCUGCUUGAUAUCAUUUACAUGACCUAUUUUCAAAAAUAACAACUGGCAUUAAUGUUUAUGCAACAAAAAUAUGCUUACCUGCACUGAUGCUUCCCCAUCCGGUCACAGCACAGAUCUCCGAGGAAAAUAGAGGCUCUGCGCUGUGUGGGAGACAUACUGGCCUCACCACCGAGUUGUACUCCAGAGGAGAGCUUAGUUGUAUUAGGGCAAUGUCAGAGUCAUAACUUAGUGUGUUAAAGUCUUCAUGCACUAUUAUGUGUUUGGCCCUUCUCACCUGUAUCGGUGGCAAGUAAGCAAAUUACAACGUAAGAAAGUCAAAGAAUCCAGCAACUUCCUUGUUGAUGGUCCAAAAUAAUCCUAAAUUUCUGCACUUACAUACAUAAACAAUGCAGAAGACUUUCUAUUAAAUUUAAAAGAGCAAUAUUGGUUUACAAUUUGCAGGGGGCUAUGAACCACCUUCUGGAUAAAGGUGGUGCUGGAGAAAUAAAGCUUUGAAAACCUG